UGACACAUGCAGUAACUGCACGUACUUGUACUAGAAAAUGCAAGUGUCGUGAAAGCGGUGGACAAAUGGCAGGUGAAAUCACAGGAGAAGCGAGCUGCCUUCUGCAGAACAGUCGGUACAGAAGGGAACAACGGAUCUGGAAAGACAACUAACAGUACCCUGAACCAAUCAAUUAAUUCUGACUCAAUAACAAAAGAACUGCACAUGGGAUCUGGGACUUGCAGAUCUUCUCUAACGGCCUACCACUUAGUGCAUUUAUCCAUUAGGCACAAGACACAUCUUUUCUUCCUCUGGGACAAAUUCCAUACUGCACACAGUCAUCUAUUCAGGACAUCCCGUUCUUCCCUCCAGCAGCUCUUAAAUGUAAGACACAAAAGGAGCCUUUGAGACAAGGAUCACAAUGUGCAGCUCUCCCAUUUGCAAGCCGGAUGCACUACAAGCAAACGAAGCCUUGCUUCAAGAACGUGACUCCCAUUCCAGCUAGGACAAAAUAUGGCUUGGGAAAUAGGGCAUUUCCUGGAAAGUGCAAGAUCUGGAUUUAAAGUCCCCAGAAUGAGGGCAGUAUGCAAACAGAUCCUUCUUUAUGGACAACUGCUUUGAUGCAGAAUUAUCACCUUUUUCCUCUUCCUUCUUAAGAAAACAAAGUUCUGCUGUGAUUUGUUACACCUCAGAUUGUGGAAUAAAAACAUUUCUGAGUAUCUGUUAAAUUAACCU
rnacentral:lncRNA from 1 species